GACGAACGCUGGCGGCGUGCUUAACACAUGCAAGUCGAACGAUGAACCCGGAGCUUGCUCCGGUGGAUUAGUGGCGAACGGGUGAGUAACACGUGGGUGAUCUGCCCUGCACUUCGAGAUAAGCCUGGGAAACUGGGUCUAAUACCGGAUAGGACCACUGCCUGCAUGGGUGGUGGUGGAAAGCUUUUGCGGUGUGGGAUGGGCCCGCGGCCUAUCAGCUUGUUGGUGGGGUGAUGGCCUACCAAGGCGACGACGGGUAGCCGGCCUGAGAGGGUGACCGGCCACACUGGGACUGAGAUACGGCCCAGACUCCUACGGGAGGCAGCAGUGGGGAAUAUUGCACAAUGGGCGCAAGCCUGAUGCAGCGACGCCGCGUGAGGGAUGACGGCCUUCGGGUUGUAAACCUCUUUUAGUAGGGAAGAGGCGAAAGUGACGGUACCUGCAGAAAAAGCACCGGCUAACUACGUGCCAGCCGCCGCCGUAA
rnacentral:rRNA from 1 species